rnacentral:rRNA from 1 species
GGUGAACGCUGGCGGCGUGCUUGACACAUGCAAGUCGAACGGUAUGUGGCAACACAUAGAGUGGCGAACGGGUGAGUAACACGUGGGAACGUAUCUUUUGCAGGGGGAUAACUGACCGAAAGGACAGCUAAUACCGCAUAAGUCCGAGAGGAGAAAGGUGCAAAAGCAUCGGCAGAAGAGCGGCCCGCGGUCCAUCAGCUAGUUGGUGAGGUAAGGGCUUACCAAGGCGACGACGGAUAGCCGGCGUGAGAGCGUGGCCGGCCACAAGGACACUGAGAUACGGGUCCUACUCCUACGGGAGGCAGCAGUGCGGAAUUUUAGAUAAUGGAGGGAACUCUGAUCUAGCGACGCCGCGUGCAGGAAGAAGGUCUUCGGAUUGUAAACUGCUGUGGUAAGGGAAAAAUGCUAUGUAGAGUGGAAAGCUACAUAGAGGGAUGGUACCUUACUAGAAAGCCCCGGCUAACUACGUG